CUUGCGAUCAAAAUGAUGAUGUUAGGGACCCAAGUGUCAAAACAAGUAGUAGUUUUCCAAAACACAUGACAAUUUUUGAGAAUUUUGCAGUUAAAUAAAACAUUUAGCCAAUUUGGCUUGGAGAAUAUGUUUUCCGGAAAACAAAAUUUAUGUCUAAACUUGCAGCAGCUUGGAAGGCCUACCCGGAGAAAGAGUGUUUUAAGUUCCGCUUUAAAACAGCAAAGGUUCACGAAAACGAAAGAUUUUCAAUAAACGACCUGGAAAUUAUUUAUAAGAAACUUUCGGACGAAGAUUCUUUAAAGCGUGUCGAAUUUCAGGAUAAAAAACAGGUUUGAUCAAACGGAUGGAACCGAUUAGGAACUGCUUUGGAAAAGGAUGAUUUGUUCUUCUAAGGAAUAAAAAAAAGGUUUCUCGAAUCGGCCUGAAAGAAUCAGUAACACAGUCAUAAGCAAGCAUGUCGAACUGGCCGUUUUACGAGCCACAUGUGACCCAGAGUGUAUCAGUUAUCAUUUAUAUUUUGGUAAAAUAGUUAAUAAAUAUGCUUGAAGUAUUUUCUUCUUCAAAUCUGCAUUCUUUGCUUGCA